rnacentral:rRNA from 1 species
UACGUAGGGUGCAAGCGUUAAUCGGAAUUACUGGGCGUAAAGCGUGCGCAGGCGGUUGAUGUAAGACAGAUGUGAAAUCCCCGGGCUCAACCUGGGAACUGCAUUUGUGACUGCAUCGCUGGAGUGCGGCAGAGGGGGAUGGAAUUCCGGCGUGUAGCAGUGAAAUGCGUAGAUAUGCGGAGGAACACCGAUGGCGAAGGCAAUCCCCUGGGCCUGCACUGACGCUCAUGCACGAAAGCGUGGGGAGC